GAGUCUUAUAGAGGUAGAGCUACCGAUUGGGUGCGGGGGAGUCAAAUCCUACCAAAUCCAGACGAACUCCGAAUGCUAUAAGAUAUGGCCGGCAGUGAGGCUUUGGGUGCUAAGGUCCAAGGCCGAGAGGGAAAGAACCCAGACCAUCAGCUAAGGUCCCUAAAUAUACGCUAAGUUGAACUAACGAGGUCCGACUGCACAGACAGCUAGGAUGUUGGCUUGGAAGCAGCCAUUCAUUUAAAGAGUGCGUAACAGCUCACUAGUCGAGCGGUCGGGCGUGGAUAAUAAACGGGCAUCAAGUGUAUUACCGAAGCUAUGGAUUCAUGCAUUUUGUGCAUGUCUGGUAGGGGAGCAUUCUAUUUACGGAGAAGCGGUCUGGUAAUGGGCCGUGGAGUUGAUAGAAAAGCAAAUGUAGGCAUAAGUAACGAUAAGGCGGGUGAGAAACCCGCCCACCGAAAGACUAAGGUUUCCUGAUCAACGCUAAUCGGAUCAGGGUUAGUCGGGGCCUAAGGCGCAUCCGAAGGGAGUAAGCCGAUGGACAACUGGUUAAUAUUCCAGUACUUUUUAUAACUGCGAUGUGGUGACGGAGUAGUGACACUGCCGCGAACUGACGGAAUAGUUCGUUAAAAGGCGUAGGUAUAGGGACGGUAGGCAAAUCCGCCGACCCUGCUGAAACCCAAUAGUACAGCAAAGCUUCGGCGGCGCUGAUAGAGCAGGUAAACAGACUUCCAAGAAAACCCGCUAAGCUUCAGGUUAUAAAAACCCGUACCGUAAACCGACACAGGUAGUCGAGGAGAGAAUCCUAAGGUGCUCGAGUGAAUCAUGGCUAAGGAACUCGGCAAAAUGGCCCUGUAACUUCGGGAGAAGGGGCGCUUCCUCCAGCGAUGGAGAAGCCGCAGUGAAAAGGCCCAGGCGACUGUUUAACAAAAACAUAUGGCUUUGCAAAAUCGAAAGAUGAAGUAUAAGGCCUGACACCUGCCCGGUGCUGGAAGGUUAAGAGGGGAUGUCAUCGCAAGAGAAGCAUUGAAUCGAAGCCCCAGUAAACGGCGGCCGUAACUAUAACGGUCCUAAGGUAGCGAAAUUCCUUGUCGGGUAAGUUCCGACCUGCACGAAUGGUGUAACGAUCUGGGCGCUGUCUCAGCCAUGAGCUCGGUGAAAUUGUGGUAUCGGUGAAGACGCCGAUUACCCGCAACGGGACGGAAAGACCCCAUGCACCUUCACUAUAGCUUAACAUUGAAAUUGGGUACAGGAUGUGUAGGAUAGGCGGGAGAUGUUGAAGUGGCUUCGCCAGGAGUCAUGGAAUCAACCUUGAAAUACCGCCCUUUCUGUAUUCGGUUUCUAACUCGAUCAUGUCGAGGACAUUGUUUGGUGGGUAGUUUGACUGGGGUGGUCGCCUCCAAAAAGGUAACGGAGGCUUUCAAAGGUAAGCUCAGUACGCUUGGUAACCGUACGAGGAGUGCAAUGGCAUAAGCUUGCUUGACUGUGAGACCAACAAGUCGAACAGGGUCGAAAGACGGACAUAGUGAUCCGGUGGUUCUGUAUGGAAGGGCCAUCGCUCAAAGGAUAAAAGGUACGCUGGGGAUAACAGGCUGAUCUCCCCCAAGAGCUCAUAUCGACGGGGAGGUUUGGCACCUCGAUGUCGGCUCGUCACAUCCUGGGGCUGGAGAAGGUCCCAAGGGUUGGGCUGUUCGCCCAUUAAAGUGGCACGCGAGCUGGGUUCAGAACGUCGCGAGACAGUUCGGUCCCUAUCUGUUGUGGGCGUUGGAAGUUUGAGUGGAUCUGUCCUUAGUACGAGAGGACCGGGAUGGACUGACCGCUGGUAAACCAGUUAUGCCGCCAGGUGUACGGCUGGGUAGCUACGUCGGGAAUAGAUAAGCGCUGAAAGCAUCUAAGUGCGAAACUAGCCACGAGAUGAGACUUCCUUAUAGGGCCGUAGUAGACUACUACGUUGAUAGGUUGCAGGUGUAAAGGUAGAAAUACCAUAGCUGAGCAAUACUAAUCACCCGAAGCUUUCUC
rnacentral:rRNA from 1 species